rnacentral:rRNA from 1 species
GAUGAACGCUGACAGAAUGCUUAACACAUGCAAGUCGAGGGGCAUCGGGAAGAAAGCUUGCUUUCUUUGCCGGCGACCGGCGCACGGGUGAGUAACACGUAUCCAACCUGCCCUUUACUCGGGGAUAGCCUUUCGAAAGAAAGAUUAAUACCCGAUGGCAUAAUGAUUCCGCAUGGUUUCAUUAUUAAAGGAUUCCGGUAAAGGAUGGGGAUGCGUUCCAUUAGGUUGUUGGUGAGGUAACGGCUCACCAAGCCUUCGAUGGAUAGGGGUUCUGAGAGGAAGGUCCCCCACAUUGGAACUGAGACACGGUCCAA